rnacentral:misc_RNA from 1 species
GAAACGACAGUCUCAUGGGCCCGUGGGGAGGUUAAGUCCAGAUGCAGAGGAUUCGUGGAUACUAAUUAUCCAAUUCGCCAUAAUGAAGGCCUGAAUUAAGGCAGGAGCAGCCAAGAUGGAGACUCUGAAGACAGGAGUUAGCCACGAUAAAGCUGCCAGCGGUGGAGAGCUCACUCUAGGGGUACCAAGCACCCAGCUGAUUAGCAAAACCACCUGGGAGGUCACGGUCUCCUCGUUGCAGGUGAAGAAACGGAGGCGAGGUGGAGAAAGUCUGCACCAAAUGUGGGAUCGAGGCCUCCCCUGGCCAGAAGCGGCCCCUGUGGCUGUGUAAGAUCUGCAGUGAGCAAAGAGAG